GCCCAUCUGCUUCCCCACGAGGACGUCAGUCAGCGGCAAGCUUGUUGUGAAAUCACAAUGUCACGCUCUGUGCAAAAUGAACGGUGCGCCAAGACUGCAGACAGAACCAAAGCAAGGAGAAGCAUCCUGGCUGAGAUCUACUUUGAAAGACCAGUCUGCUGAGAGACCAGAGGCUUACAGAGACAGUCUCCAAUCUCUGUGAAGGAAACACGACCACGAGAAACCACCGUCUGUCAGAACCUCAGAGACUGUAAUGUUCCUGCUUCUGCCUUUCCUACACGGCGCGCGCCGCCAAGCUUGCUUCCUUGGCUUUAGGGUCUCACUGUGGAGCGCAGUGUGAUUCUUUGUAUCAACCAUGACCCUGAGAGUUGGAGGCAAGCAUCUUUACCUGUUGAGCUAUCUCACUGGCCCCCUAACAAACGUUUUACAGGCUUUGAAGAGGUAGACCGUAAAAUUAGCCCAAAGUUAGGAUACUUGAAUUGCGAUAAACCUUUUGAAGUUCUAGAAGUUAUCAGGCUUGAAAAGUACACAGGUGCCUGGUUUUGAGCCUGUUUCAUUCACAGACACGCAGAAACUAUUCCAGAACAAGGAGACGCUAUCACAGGCACGGGGCUACGAGUCUAAGAAGUACCCCUGUGAAGUACACCUCAAACAGGAAGUACUAUGGAAUAUACCUCAAACACACAGUGGAGUCUGCCUCAGAUGAGAAAUAAUACAGAGUAUUGUUUUUGGUUGGUUUUUUUUUUUUUUCCAAAACAAGUUGUUGUCUUUGGACCUCCGAAGAUAACGAAUGCUUUCCGGCCGUGUUUAAAUGUCAGUAUGAACACACGGGCUCCUAACAUGUUACACAGAGAGAAGUUAUGAAUCAGAACCAUGUGCGAGCACAUGAGGCUGUCUCCACUUCAUUGAACACAUAUCCUGAUGAGGUUGAAAGAAAAAAAAGACUCGAAUCUCUUCAAGCAAGCUCAGUACACGACUAUUUUGAGAAAUCGGUUUAACUAGUACUAAAUUAAGCUCAAAUUCAUAGCUCAAAGCCAGCUCUGUGAAUAAUUGUUGGAACACUCAAUUUAACAACCUGUGUGCAAAAUUAGCCAUACUUGAAAAUUCAAGGAAAAGGCAUAGAAAAGAGAGCACUUAUGAAUAGCACUGUUAGCAGAAACAUUUAUAGCAGGGAAAUUGUCAGAACGAAAGUAUCUAGAGUAGUGGUUCUCAACCUGUGGGUUGUGACCCUUGUUAUUUUUGCAUUAAUUAUUUUUAUUAAUUAAUUAUUUUAUUUAUUUACAUCCCAAGUGCUGCCUCCUUCCUGGUCCCCCCCAGGCAUCCCCCUACUCAAGGGCAUCAAGUCUCCACAGGAUGAGGCACGUCCUCUCCCACUGAGGCCAUAAGGCAGUCCUCUGCUACAUGUGUGCCAGGAGCCUCCGACCAGCCCAUGUGUGCUCUUUGGUUAGUGGCUCAGUCUCUGGGAGCUCCCAUAUUAGUUGACACUGUUAGUCUUCCUUUGGGAUUGCCAUCCCCUUCAGUUCCAGUCCUUGCCCUAACUCUUCCAUAGGAGUCCCUGACCUCCUUCCAGUGCUUGCUGUGAGUAUCUGCAUCUGUCACAGUCAGCUGCUUCAGAAAUCCUCUCAAAGGACAGCCAUGCUAGGUUCCUAUCUGCAAGCACAACGUGGCAUCAGCAAUAGUGUCAGGGAUUGGAGUCCACCCAUAGGAUGGAUCCCGAGUUGAAAGUGCUACUGGUCAGCCAUUCCCUCCAUCUCUGUUCUAUUUUUGUCCCUGCAUUUCUUUUAGACAGGAGCAAUUUGUGGUGGAGUUUUGUCAGUGGGUUGGUGUCCCCAUCCCUCCACUAGAGGUCCUGUCUGACUUCUGGAGGUGGUCUCUUCAAGCUCCAUAUACCCACUGUUGGGCAUUUUGGCUAAGGUCAACCACAUUGAGUCCUGGGAGUCUCCCACAUCCCAGGCCUCUGGGACUCCCUAGAGAUUCUUCCCAUUCCCCUCCUCUGGCAACAUUCAUUAUCCUGGCCCUCUGGGCGCCUCUCCUGUUUCUCCCCAUACUUGAUCCUGUACCCCUAUUCCCCCUCCCCCUCCAAUCCAGACCCCUCCCUCCCUCUGUGUUCCAUGACUAUUUUGUUCUUCCUUCUAAGUGGGAAUUAAGCAUCCUUCCUUAGGCCUCCCCUCUUGUUUAAAACUUCAUCGGGACUGUAGGGUAUAACAUGGGUAGUGUAUACUUUUUGGCUAAUAUACACUUAUCAGUGAGUACAUACCAUACAUGUCCUUUGGGGUCUGGGUUACCUCACUCAGUCUGAUAUUUUUAGUUCCAUCCAUUUGCCUGCAAAUUUCAUGAGGUCCUUGUUUUUAAUAGCUAAAUAGUAUUCCAUUGUGUAAACGAAACAUUCUUCAGUCGUGAUAUAUCUGGGUUGCUUCUAGUUUCCAGCUUUUAGUAAUAGUGCUAUAAGCAUAGUGGAGCACAUAUGCCCAGGAACAGUGUAUAUGGGUCUUCAGGUAAAACUAUUUCUAGUUUUCUGAGAAACCACAAGGUUGAUUUCCAGAGUGAAUGGACAAGUUUGCAAUCCUACCAGCAAUGGAGGAGUGCUUUCCUGUCUCCAUGUCAUGUGCUGUCACUUGAGUUUUUGAUCUUAGCCAUUCUCAUUGGUGUAAAGCGGAAUCUCAGGGUUGCUUUGAUUUGCAUUUCCCUGAUGACUAAAGAUGUUGAACAUUUCUUUGUUUCUUGGCCAUUCAAGAUCCCUCUGUUGAGAAUUCUCUGUUUAGCUCUGUAGCUAUUUUUAAUUGGUUUAUUUGGGGUUUUUGGUGUCAAUCUUCUUGAGUUCUUUGUAUAUUUUGGAUAUUAGCCCUCUUUCAGAUGUAGGGUUAAUGAAGAUCUUUUCCCAAUCUGUGGGCUGCCAUUUUGUCCUAUAGUCAGUGUCCUUUACCUUACAGAAGCUUUUCAGUUUCAAGAGAUCCUAUUUAUCAAUUGUUGAUCUUAGAGCCUGAGCCAUUGGUGUUCUGCUCAGGAAAUUUUCUCCUGUGCCCAUGUGUUCAAGACUAUUUCCCACUUUCUCUUCUAUUAGAUUCAGCAUAUCUGGUUUUAUGUUGAAGUCCUUGAUCCACUUGGACUUGAGCUUUGUGCAGAGUAAUACAUAUGGAUCUAUUUGCAUCUUCUACAUGUAGACAUCCAGUUAGACCAGCACCAUUUGUUGAAGAUGAUUCCUUUUUCCCACUAUAUGGUUUCAGUUUUUUGUCAAAAAUCAAGUGUCUGUAGUGUGUGGGUUGAUUUCUGUGUUUUUUAUUCUAUUCCAUUGAUCAACUUGUCUGUUUCUGUAUCAGUAUCAUGUGGUUUUGUUAUCACAACUGCUCUGUAGUACAGCUUGAGGCCAGGGAUGAUGAUUCCUCCAGAAGUUCUUUUGUUCAGAAUUGUUUUGGCUAUCCUGGUUCUUGUUUUCUAUAUGAAGUUGAGAAUUGCUCUUUAAAGGUCUGUAAAAAUCUGUGUUGGAAUUCUAGUGGGAAUUGCAUUAAACCUGUAGAUUGCUUUAAGAAAGAUGGCCAUUUUCACUAGAUUAAUCCUACCAAUCCAUGAGCAUGGAGAUCUUUCCAUCUUCUGAGGUACUCUUUGAAUUCUUUCUUUGGGGACUUGAAAUUUUUGUCAUACAGUUCUUUCACUUGCUUGGUUGGAAUUGCACUAAGACAUUUUAUAUUAUUUAUGUCUAUUCUGAAGGGUGUUGUUUCCUUAUUUUCUUUCUCAGCCCAUUUAUCAUUUGUAUAAAGGAGGGAAUUGGUUUGUUUUAGUUAAUUUUAUAUACAGCCACUUUGCUGAAGUAGUUUAUCAACUGUAGGAAUUCUCUGGUAGAAUUUUUGGGGUUACUUAAGUAUACUAUCAUAUUAUCCACAGGUAAUGAUGUCUUAACUUCUUCCUUUCCAAUUCAUACACCCCUCUGGAUUUCCUUUUGUUGUCUUAUUGCUCUAGCUAAAACUUCAAAUACUGUAUUGAAUAGAUAGGGAGAGAGUGGGCAGCCUUGUCUUGUCCCUGAUUUUAGUGGGAUUGCUUCAAGUUUCUCUCCAUUUAAUUUGAUAUUGGCUAUUGAUUUACUGUAUAUUACUUUUACUGUGUUUAGGUUUGGGCCUUGAACUCCUGAUCUCUCCAAGACUUUUAAAAUGAAGGAUAUUGUAUUUUGUCAAAGGCUUUUUUAGCAUCUAGUGAGAUAAUUAUGUGAAUUUUUUCUUGAGUUUCUUUAUCUAGUGGAUUACUUUGGUGAAUUUUUGCAUACUGAACCACCCCCCGUGUCCCUGGGAUGAAGCCAACUUAAUUGUGGUGAAUGAUGUUUUUUAUGUGUUCUUGGAUUCAGUUUGCAACAAUUGAAUAUUUUUUUUUUGAUGUUUAUAAGGGAAAUUAGUCUGAAGUUCUCUUUCUUUGCUAGGUCACUGUAUGGUUUAGGUGUCAGGGUAAGUGUGUCCUCAUAUAAUGAAUUAGGUAGUAUUCCUUCUGUUUUGAUAAUGUGGAAUAGUUUGAGGAAUAUUGGUAUUAACUCUUCUUUUCUUUGAAAGUCCAGUAGAAUUCUCCACUAAAGCCAUCUUGCUCUGGGCUUUUUUUGUUUGUUUGUUUGUUUGUUUGUCUGUUUGUUUGUGAAACUUUUUUUAAUGAUAGCUUCUAUUUCUUUAGGAGUUGUGGAGUGUUUAGAUAGUUUACCUGUUCUUGAUUUAACUUUUGUACGUGGUAUCAGUCUCAAAAAUUUUGCUUAGAUUUUCCAGUUUUGUUGGGUGUAGGCUUUUGAAGUAAGACCUGAUGAUUUUUUAAUUUCCUCAGUUCCUAUUGUUAUAUAUCACUUUUCAAUUCUGAUUUUGAUAAUGUGGAUGCUAUCUCUGGACCUUUUAGUUAGUUUUGCUAAGGGUUUAUCUAUCUUGUUGAUGUUCUCAAAGAUCCAGCUCUUAGUUUUGCUGAUUCUUUGUAUAGUUCUUUUUGUUUCUAAUUCGUUGAUAUCAGCCCUGAGUUUGACCAUUUCCUGCCUUCUCUUGGUUGAGUUUGCUUCUUUUUGUUCUAGAGCUCUCAGGUGUGCUGUUAAGUUGCUGGUAUAAGAUAGCUCCAGUUUCUUUAUCAGUGCACUUAGUGCUAUGAAUUUUCCUCUUAGCACUGCUUCCAUUGUGUCCCAUCAGUUUGGGUAUAUUGAGCCUUCAUUUUCAUUGAAUUCUAGAAAUCCUUUAAUUUCUUUCUUUAUUUCUUCCCUGACAAGUUAUUAUUGGGUAGAAAGUUGUUCAGUUUCCAUGAGCAUGUGGGCUUUCUGUUGUUUCUAUUGUUGAAGCCCUGCCUUAGUCCGUGGUGAUCUGAUAGAAUGCAAAGGGUUAUUCAAUCUUCUUAUACCUGGUGAGGCUUGUUUUGUGUCUGACUAUAUAUUCAGUUUUGGAGAAAGUACCAUGAGGUGUUGAGAAAAAAGUAUAUUCUCUUGUUUUAAGGUGAAGUGUUCUGUAGAUAUCUGUUAAACCCAUUUUGCUCAUAACUUCUGUUAGUUUCACUGUGUCUCUGUUUAGUUUCUGUUUCAAUGACCUGUCCAUUGGUGAGAGUGGGGUAUUGAAGUCUCCCACUACUAUUGUGUGGAGUUAAAUGUGUGUUUUGAGCUGUAGUUCCUGUUCUCUUUCCUAGGGUUUCCAUCUCCAGGGUUGUCUCCAUUUAUGAUUUUUUUUAUUGCUUCUAUUUUCAUUUUUAGGUCUUGGACUGCUUUGUUCAUUUCCUUUACCUGUUUGAUUUUAUUUUCCUGUAUUCCUUUCAGGGGUUUAUUUGUUUCCUCUUUAAGGGGUUCUACCUGUCUGACUGUGUUUUCCUGUAUUUCUUUAAGGAAAUUAUUUAUAUCCUGUUUAAAGACCUCUAUCAUCAUCAUCAUGAAAUGGGAUUUAAGGUCAGAAUCUUUCUCUUCAGACGUGUUAGGAUAUCCAGGGCUUGCUCUAAUAGGAGAACUGGAUUCUGAUGGUGCCAUAUCGCACUGGUUUCUGCUGAUUAUGUUCUUGUGCUUGCCUUUCACCAUCUGGAUGACUCCGGUAUUAGCUGGUUGGAGUGCCCCAAAUUGGAUCAGGCUUCCUGGGAGACAGGUAGAGCUGAAGGAGGGGUAGGCAGGCCAAACUGUCAAGAGUGCAGGUGGAGGUGCAAACUGGAAGGGAAAUGGGGCUCCAACAGGGUGGGACAGAGCCCACAUUUCCUAGGCUCUAUGGGGUUCCAGCAUGGGGAUUGUAUGUGGGUCUCACCUAGAUUCCCUAAUUAGAGCAGUCCUCCUGAGAGACAGACAAGGCUGUGGAUUGGGGGACGGGCCAUGCUGAUCCACCAGGGAUGCAGAUGGAGGUAAAGACAGAAGGGAGAUGGGGUAUGACCCCUUUCACAGUGGCCACAGAACACAUAUUUACCACACAAUUCAUAACAGCAGCAAAAUUAUAGUUAUGAAGUAGCAAUGAAGAUAAUUUUAUGUUUGGGGGUGUCAGUACAUGAGGAACUAUAUUAAAGGGUCACAGCAUUAAGAAGCAUGACAGCCACUAUUCUAGAAGGUUUGUGUGACUGGAGAAAUGGCUCUGUCCAUGAGGUGCUUAAUUCUCAAGCCUGAAAACCCAAGCUCAGGUCCCAUCAUCCAUGGAAAAAGCCAGAUCCCUAGUCGGGGAGGGUGAACCGGGUAGAUUCUUGGGGCUCACUGAGCAGCUAACAUAACCAGAGAAGUGAGACCCAGGUACCACUGACAGACCUGUCUCAAAGACAAACAGAGACCUCCUGAGGAAUGACACCUGAGAUUCACCUCUGGCCUCUGCACAUGUGCAUGUGUAUCUACCUACACAAACAUGUACUACACACACAUGACCAUUCAUGUCCCCCAAAGCCCCAAAACAAGGUAGUUAUAUAAAAAUGAAAAGUAGAGGAGGUGGGACUUUUAUUUAUUUUUACUUUUUUUAAACAAAGAGUUACCAAAACAAAGUCCCUGAGACAAAAUAUGAAAAGUAUAACAUGAACAAAUCAAAACAGGUAGGAUAGAUAAGCCUGUUGAUGCUUUCCUUGUACAUUAAAGGCUUUAUGCCAAAAAUAUUAUUCCAAAAGCCCUACCAUCAAAAGAAACCAAAUAGCUUAAGAACAUAAAAAUAAGAAUAUGAACCAUUUUUGUGGAUCUAUACAUUAAAUACUAUCAGAAGAGUGACUCUAACCAGUACAGAUGUAUUCAAAUAAUUAAGACCAUAAAAAUAGGAUUUUAUAGAGAGUGACCACUGCAGUUUCUGAGUGAAAGGCGUGGAUUUGAGUAAGCCGAGGUCGGUGAGACAGAAGGUUCAUAAUUUCCUGGGCUACAGAGUGAGUUCAAAGCCAGCCCAGGCAACUCAGUGAGAUCUUGUUCUCAAAAUAAAUACUCAUAAGGCGAGGACUGGAAAUACUUAUUACUCAAUGCUAGAGUGACUACCCAGCAUCUGUGAGGCCCCAGGACCAAUCCUCCUCACAGCCAAGGAGGGGAAUUAAAGCAUGUAUUUGUAAGGCUAGCCGUUGGCAUUAAAUUGUUAAGUAUGCUUAGAUAUGCUCCAUGGUUGGAAAGAUAGCAAGAAAUCCAAGAAAGGGACCCAACAUUAACAGACUCAAAGAAAAUAAUUAUGGAUGUUAGCUAAAUUGAAAAAAAAAAACAUUUUAUUGGGAAUUGGAAAAGGCAGUGGAAUUGUAGCUAUACAGGAAGAAGACUUUUGUUAACAUUUUCUCAAUACUUAAUAUGAAAAUAUUCUGAAGGAUUCAGAAGCCAUCUGUCACCAUAAAACACUUCAAUGCUACAUAAGUAAAACAAAAUCGUGAUUUUGUUUAAAAAAAAAAAAAGAUUUGCGAGACACAAUUUUAACAAGAUUAGAGAUCAAGUUAUCUCACAGGACAAAAAAAAUAAAAUAAACAAUUUUAAUUCAUCAAAGACAAACAGAACCUUCCACUGGUUGUCUCUCUUUCUAAUCAAAGUAAAUAUCAAGAAUAUGAAAGGUUUUGAGCAAAAUCCACAUGUAGAAAUUUUGAACUGUAAAUCAGGAGUCUGUGUGCGUGCCUGAGCGUGCGCAUGAGCCUGUGCGUGCUAGAGCAAACUUCCUCGCUUAGACUAGGAAGCUAUUCUAUUGAAAAAACAUUCCCUAAACUCAGAAUUUGAUAUCUCUGUAUUAACGCUUUCCCUUUUGUACAUGUGUGUGGUAUGUGCACCUGUGCGGAUGUGUGUGUGUGUGUGUGUGUGUGUGUGUGUGUGUGUGUGUGUGUGUGUAGGUGCGGGCAGAGGCCUGGGGUUAUCGGGUUUCUUCUCCGAUCACACUCUACCUUACUCACUGAGGCAUAGUCUCAAUGGAGCCAAUAACUCACCUAGACAGGUCGUCUAGUUAGUCAGUGUUCUCUGAGGAAUCCCUUUUUGCGGUCCCUUAGGCCAGAGUUAGUGGGAGGGUCCCAUGCCCAUUAACAUUUCUGUGGGAGCUGGAGAACUAUCUAUGUUCUACCAUUUGCAUGGUGACUUCACUGCCUGCUAAGCCAUCUUCCCGGUCUCUCUGUGUUUAAUUUUUGUUACAUUUCUAUUUUUACAGGAUAAACAAUAACCAUGCGUAUCGUGAGGUACAAUGUGAUGCUUGGAUUUCUGUGUGCGUUGUGGUAUAAUCUAGUCGGGCUCAAUAACAUAUGGUCCAUUACAGGUACUUUUUGUGUCUUGGUAGGAAAAACAUUGACAAUGAACCUUUCGCUUAUUCUGAAACAUUAGUCACUCUGUUGGCAGUAGGUCACCUGAGCUCAAUUGUUCCCUCGUCCUUCCUCUCCACGUCCACACUCCUCCCCAGACUAUGGUAGCCACUCUUCCCCCAUAUAAUUCUGUGAGUUCUAGCACUGUACUCCACGCACGUGAAGUUGCAUGCUGUUGGUCUUUAUCUAGUCGAUUUUAGCUUCAUAACACUUAGGUCCAUCCAUGCUGUCUCAGAUGAGAGAAACCAAUGCUUCUUAAAUGUUGAGUACUAUGUCAUCGCACUUACCUUAUUCCUUUCCGAUUCUCAUUCCACACCCUGAUGAGUUCUUAAGAUCACAAUGAGCGUGGGAGUGUGGGAAUAUCUGCAACAUACAGUUUUCAAUUCCUCUGGAUAUGUACACAGAAGUAGAACUAAUGUACAACAUGGCGAUUGCAUUUUUCCUUUCCCAAGGAACCUCUGCCUUAUUUUCAAGAACAGCUGAAAUCAUUUGUGACAUCAUCAGUAGAACACAGGUGUUCUUUCUGCAUUUCUUCACCGACAUGUUUCUCAUCAUUAUCUUGGUUGUUUGACACAGGGCUCUCUUUGUAGUCCAGGCUGGCCUUGAACUAUCCCUUCCUGCUUUAGCCUCCCAAGUAUUAGGAUGAUAGCUGUGUGUAACCAUACCAGCCUUCUUUCAUUAUUUUGCCCAUAGCCAUCUUCAUAGGUAAGGGUGAUACGUUAUUGUGGUCCUAAAUUAUGUUUCUCUGUUAAAAAUGUUGGUCAUUUUUUCAUGUGUCAUUUGUAUGACAGCCUUUGAGAACCAUCUACUCAGGUCCUCUGACUGCUUUUUUAAUGGUGUUUGUUUUCUUGAGUUCUGCGUUGGUUCUGGAUGUUACUUCCUACCUGGCUUUGGGACAUUGUCUCCUGUUCUGGCUGCCUUCGCACUCUAUCAAUGAUGUCUUACUCUGCAGCAUCCUCUUCUAUCUGUUUGGAGACAACUUUCAUCAUGUUUUAGCUAAGGAUUUGCGCUGUGGGCUUAUCGUUUACUGGGGUUGCUGAAGUUUAAAAGGAAAACGGGCAAUAACGUGUCUGAGUCAACUCUUCUUGAAGAUGACAUCUCAUUCUGUCUUGCUAUUUAGGCCUGAGUGUCAACUUGUCAAGACCACGACUAUUGGAAAACUGUUUGAUGGCUGAAACUCUGUGGUGGAGCCCUGCUGUGCUGUAUCACAAAGUCACUUGAAAACCUAAAAUUCAAGUUCAAUAAAACAUUGAUAUUUUAA